rnacentral:rRNA from 1 species
GACGAACUGUGCAAACGUUAUUCGGAAUCACUGGGCUUGAAGAGUGCGUAGGCGGUUUUGUAAGUAGGGUGUGAAAGCCUCCGGCUUAACCGGGGGAAUUGCGCUCUAAACUGCAAGGCUGGAGUGAGGUAGGGGUGUGUGGAACUUCUAGUGGAGCGGUGAAAUGUGUUGAUAUUAGAAGGAACGCCGGUGGCGAAAGCGACACACUGGACCUUGUCUGACGCUGAGGCACGAAAGCCAGGGGAGCAAACGGG